rnacentral:rRNA from 1 species
GAGAGUUUGAUCCUGGCUCAGGAUGAACGCUAGCUAUAGGCUUAACACAUGCAAGUCGAGGGGUAACAAGGAGAGAGCUUGCUCUUUCUGUUGACGACCGGCGCACGGGUGAGUAACACGUAUCCAACCUACCGUAUACACUGGGAUAGCUCUUCGAAAGAAGGAUUAAUACUAGAUGUUAAGAUAUUCUCGCCUGGGAAUAUCUUCAAAGAUUUAUCGGUAUACGAUGGGGAUGCGUUCCAUUAGACAGUUGGUGAGGUAACGGCUCACCAAAUCGACGAUGGAUAGGGGUUCUGAGAGGAAGAUCCCCCACAUUGGAACUGAGACACGGUCCAAACUCCUACGGGAGGCAGCAGUGAGGAAUAUUGGUCAAUGGACGCGAGUCUGAACCAGCCAAGUAGCGUGAAGGAAGACUGCCCUAUGGGUUGUAAACUUCUUUUGUUAGGGAAUAAAGUGCGCCACGUGUGGUGUUUUGUAUGUACCUAACGAAUAAGGAUCGGCUAACUCCGUGCCAGCAGCCGCGGUAAUACGGAGGAUCCGAGCGUUAUCCGGAUUUAUUGGGUUUAAAGGGUGCGUAGGCGGACUAGUAAGUCAGCUGUGAAAGUUAGUGGCUCAACCACUAAAUUGCAGUUGAAACUGUUGGUCUUGAGUAUACAUGAGGUGAGCGGAAUUUGUGGUGUAGCGGUGAAAUGCAUAGAUAUCACAAGGAACUCCAAUUGCGAAGGCAGCUCACUGGGGUAUAACUGACGCUGAGGCACGAAGGUGCGGGUAUCAAACAGGAUUAGAUCCCUGGUAGUCCGCACAGUAAACGAUGAAUACUCGCUGUUUGCGAUAUACAGUAAGCGGCCAAGCGAAAGCAUUAAGUAUUCCACCUGGGGAGUACGCCGGCAACGGUGAAACUCAAAGGAAUUGACGGGGGCCCGCACAAGCGGAGGAACAUGUGGUUUAAUUCGAUGAUACGCGAGGAACCUUACCUGGGCUUAAAUUGCAAUUGACGGAGGCCGAAAAGCCUCUUUCUUCGGACAAUUGUGAAGGUGCUGCAUGGUUGUCGUCAGCUCGUGCCGUGAGGUGUCGGCUUAAGUGCCAUAACGAGCGCAACCCUCAUUAUUAGUUACUAACAGGUUAAGCUGAGGACUCUAAUAAGACUGCCGUCGUAAGAUGUGAGGAAGGUGGGGAUGACGUCAAAUCAGCACGGCCCUUACGUCCAGGGCCACACACGUGUUACAAUGGGUGAAACAGAGGGCAGCUACCUAGCGAUAGGAUGCUAAUCCCAUAAAAUCACUCUCAGUUCGGAUUGAAGUCUGCAACUCGACUUCAUGAAGCUGGAUUCGCUAGUAAUCGCGCAUCAGCCACGGCGCGGUGAAUACGUUCCCGGGCCUUGUACACACCGCCCGUCAAGCCAUGGGAGCUGGGGGUACCUGAAGUACGUAACCGCAAGGAGCGUCCUAGGGUAAAUCUGGUGACUGGGGCUAAGUCGUAACAAGGUAGCCGUACCGGAAGGUGCGGCUGGAUCACCUCCUCCGUCCUAGGGUAAAUCUGGUGACUGGGGCUAAGUCGUAACAAGGUAGCCGUACCGGAAGGUGCGGCUGGAUCACCUCCU